AUAAUGAUCAUGGUUACUUAAUACUGCAAAGAUUGAGUGCAAUAGUAUUUCAUAGAUUAAUAAUUUGUUUAUAUCGAGGUAAAGUAAAACAAACUAUGGUAACAUAAGGAAGAAAACUAAGGAAGGAUAAUUUAUAUUGAUUAAUAUUAAGUAAUGGUAUACAUUAAGAAUGCCUUGGAUAUAAGAGUUCAGAGAUCCAAGAGGAAUUGAAUUGAAUGGAAAGAGUAUAGUACACAAUUAUAUUUGACCAAUCAUCUACAUUUUACACUAAUCAUGUCCAUUC